rnacentral:rRNA from 1 species
AUCCAGAGAACUUAGCAGAGAUGCUUUGGUGCCUUCGGGAACUCUGAGACAGGUGCUGCAUGGCUGUCGUCAGCUCGUGUUGUGAAAUGUUGGGUUAAGUCCCGNAACGAGCGCAACCCUUAUCCUUUGUUGCCAGCGGUUCGGCCGGGAACUCAAAGGAGACUGCCGGUGAUAAACCGGAGGAAGGUGGGGAUGACGUCAAGUCAUCAUGGCCCUUACGGCCAGGGCUACACACGUGCUACAAUGGCGCAUACAAAGAGAAGCGACCUCGCGAGAGCAAGCGGACCUCAUAAAGUGCGUCGUAGUCCGGAUUGGAGUCUGCAACUCGACUCCAUGAAGUCGGAAUCGCUAGUAAUCGUAGAUCAGAAUGCUACGGUGAAUACGUUCCCGGGCCUUGUACACACCGCCCGUCACACCAUGGGAGUGGGUUGCAAAAGAAGUAGGUAGCUUAACCUUCGGGAGGGCGCUUACCACUUUGUGAUUCAUGACAGGGGUGAAGUCGUAACAAGGUAAGCGUAGCGAG